GUUUCUUUGCGAGCUACUUCAAACAUCUCAUCGCCCCGCAUUGGUCGGUAGGAAGUGCGCCAUGAAGGCUAAGAGAGUGAUAAAGUGACACGCAAUCGUGCCUCAUAAAUUCAACUCCUAAGCACUUCUCAAAAAAAACCCCAAAAAGCAACAAACAAAUACACAAACACUCAGGCAAACAUCGAACGAUGCGUCACCAGGGACAUCCGGUUUACUGUCAACGUCGUCAGAUGACGGCAAAAGGGCGGGUAGCUUGUCCUGAAACCGGAACUGGAAUCGGUGUGGAAAAUUCAUUCACAUUCACAUGUACCCACCUACCCAGUCAACGGAGAUUUGCUAUCGGAAACCGGCACAUCCUUGUUUGAGUGAAGCGUCCAUCCAAACUAGUAGCAGACAACAACGAGGUUGUAAAUCACAUCCAUCAGUCUAUUAAAAUUGUUCAAAUCUCAAGUAUCAGCUGUCGAUUGCCUGCAACCAUUGAUUACUUAAGUUAGAAAUUCGACCGCGAAAACAAUCUGGCUAGUAGGCUUGGGUUGAAAUUAAUUAAAUGAAUGAAAUUCCAACGCCUACCGUGAUAUCCCUGAGGAUCGCUUAAAAUUGAAAUAAUAAACGAGAAACAGCCUUCUGCUCCAGGUCAAGAUAUCACAUCGCAAAGGAAAAGAAAACAAAAUUCUUCUCCCGACUGGUAAGCUCGAGCAAAUUGGAAUUUCCCAAAUGCCAUGGACUCUAAUUAAAGUAUUACUACACCGAGAUAGUGAAAAAAACCAAGCAUCCCUUCUACUAAGAUCGAAUCAGCUAAAUGGGGAUCCCGGGGAAAAAAUUCCACUCACCUUAAACUUAUCCGGGCUCUUGGAGUCUUCGAUGAAUUUGAAAAUAUCCUCGACCGCCUUUAUCAUCAGCCCAUUGUCGGCGGACCUAAGCGGACCAGACGAACCGGACCCGGAAGCAGAAGACGAGGGGAACCCCGGCUGUUGCGAGUCAAAGGUGGCUCGUUUGGGGUUCGGUCCCAGCAUGGUGUGCGUCUUGCCAGAACCGGUGGCGCCGUAGGCAAAAACCGCUGCAUUGUAGCCAUUCAGAACGUCCUGAACA